UUUACUUCAGUUGAACAUAAAUGAGCUGUAUAUUUAAAAUAGAUGUAUGUAGAUUUAUAAUAUUCACAUACUAUAAUUUAAGAUGUAGAUAUUUACUGUGUUGUUCUCCUGAAACUCUUUAGUCUACUCAGCUCUAAACUGAGAUUUCUUGUACUUCAACCUGUUUGUCUGGUUAUUCAACAGAGCACAAAUAGUUUUGAGGAAUUUUAAAGUGGGAGGUGAAAUCAAGAAGAACAGACACACAGAAAUACACUCCUGUUAAUGUCAAUGUUAACAAACACUAUAUACUGUACACACAUACAGUAUCUCACAAAAGAUGAGGAACAGAGUUCGUCAGUAAAGACCAGUCAGAUGUAUGAUGAUGGUGUGUGUGUGUGUGUGUGGGUGUGUGUGUGUGUGUGUGUGUGUGUGUGUGUGUGUGUGUGUGAGGUGGUGAUUUUAGAUGGAGAGAAGGGCAGUGUGCUGUGGGAGUUGUUCCUGCCGUUCCAUUUUAACAAUCCACAACCAGCUUCUGUUCUCACAAUCAACUACUACUCUGUGUUCAUGCUGUGGGGAGAGACACACACACACACCAAUGACACGCACUUCUGUUGGAACGAGGCCGUCAUGCCUGUUACCUCAUCCUGACCGAAGAGGACGGAGCCCUGAACAGCAGCUCGGUGCUUGAUGGGACGAAGCAGGUGGUCCUGACCAAGCGGAAGAUCAAAGGCGACGUCUCUGAGAGCAGCGUGCUAGGAGUGGGCGGAGCUGGCAGACUGGAUGGAGACGUCUCCUUGCAGGAGGAGUCUGUGAAGGAGGCGUUCUAUAGGCUGAGGUUCAGCGAUCAACCUCAGUGAUGUUUAAAUUCACAAAAGUCUGUGUGUGCGCUACUGAUCUGAUUUCAUCUGUUUGGGAAUCAGUGUGAGGGGAUCAGUGCUGGAUUAGAGUGAGAAAAUGAGUGGGAGGGGAUUAGUGUGAGGUGAUCAAUGCAGGAUUAGUGCUGGGAUUAGAGUGAGGGGAUUAAUGUUGGGGGAUUAGUGCUGGGAUUAGAGUGAGGGGAUUAAUGUUGGGGGAUUAGUGCUGGGAUUAGAGUGAGGGGAUUAAUGUUGGGGGAUUAGUGCUGGGAUUAGAGUGAGGGGAUUAAUGUUGGGGGAUUAGUGCUGGGAUUAGAGUGAGGGGAUUAAUGUUGGGGGAUUAGUGCUGGGAUUAGAGUGAGGGGAUUAAUGCUGGGAUUAGUGUGAGGGGAUCAGUGCAUGGGAAUUUGUGUGUGGGGAUCAGUGCUGGGAUUAGUGUGAGGGGAUCAGUGCUGGAUUAGUGUGAGGGGAUCAGUGCUGGAUAAGAGUGAACAGAACAGAACAGGAAUAGAAACAGCUCUCAGUGGUGCAUUCAGACUUGCAGCCCCAACUCUAUCACAUUCAAUCCUUUGGUCCAGAACAAUUUCAAAGACUAUCUCUCUAUCUAUCUCUCUCUCUCUCUCUCUCUGUAUUACUCUACAUAUUUGGGAGCUACACUGAAUUUUGUACGUUGAACACUACUACUUGCUGUGCUUUAAUCCUUACGCACCAGGUCUUGUCCCAUUUCACUGCAGCAGCCUUCCUCUAGGACUGUGUUUUACUCCCGUACUCUUGAAUUCAGUACCCUAAACCCUAACUCUAAUACCUGUGUAUUGAAUCAGGCAGUGUUUGACCCCAGACGUGUGUACCCUAAUCCCUAGUUACUACACUGUAAUCUCUAUGCACCAAAUGGGAAUGCUCUUGUCCCAUUUCACUGAAGCAGCCUUCCUCUAGACUGCGCUCGGUGCCUUUUAUAAACACUGUGUAAAUGAGACACGACCUUCAGCUGCGAAGACAAAAACCAAGACAAUCGAGACGUUUACAUUCGAUGAUUAUUUGCUUAGAAAUAAACGUAGAAACAGGAAAGUAACGGUACAGAGAAAUAAGAGCGUCUGUUAUAUUAAACACAGGAGCACUUUAUCAGGGAACAUAACACCUGUACACCUGUGUGUGUGUGCGUGCGUGUGUGUGUGUGGACGCUCUAGAUGUAAACCCUCGUUUAUUAGAGGAGUAAAUGAUUAAUUAUUAUUGUUUACUCAGACUUUAUCACUAUAGGAAAGUAAUUUACUCUGAUAUUUUAUUUGAAUACAAUCUUAUUCUGGUGUACAGAUUGACUUUGAUGAAUGAUGUCGUUGAAAGGCAGUGUGUGAAGAUUUAAACACUAAACUGGAGGCCGUGAGCUUCCUUUGAUUGUUAGCUGCAUUAGCAUUAACAUUACCUCCAGGGCAAAGUUAAAGCACUUCACACACCAACACCAAACAUGUCCUGGAUAAGUAAUGAGUUGCAGUGUAGAUAUACAGAGUGCCUUUGUGUGUGUGUGUGUGUGUGUGUGUGUGUGUGUGUGUGUGUGUGUGUGUGUGUAUAGAAUAAUGAUCCAAAGCAGCUGGUUUAAACCCAAAGUUGUGAUGAUUAUUAUAGCUGCUCUGAUCCUGUAUAACACACUGUGCCUUACAGCGCCCUCAUCCCCCGUUUCUUUCUGUAAAAGAUAAACUAACACACUGUGACCUGUAGUGACCCCUAACCCACUCCUACACAUUCACUCGCCACAAACCCAGGACAAAACACACAACCGAACUGAACAACAAGGAAUAUCCGAAUAAAAUGUGUGAAAUAAUCACUGAAAAAAUGCACAGAAAAGAGAAAUGUAAAAGAGCAAACACAAUAGAACACAAACGUAAACAGUGUGUGAAAGAAAAAUAACGGAAACGCAAAUGACAACAACAACAACAGAAAUCAACAAAAUAAAAUGAUUAAAGAAAGUGUAGAGAUAAAUGUACAAACAGCAACAAAACAAGAAAGGAAAGCAGAAAAGUAAAUAAAUGAAUAAUAAAGAUUGGAGGAAAAGAAAGUCCUGAAAAAAGAACGACUCCUUCCUGCUCAGUUGAUUAUUAUUACUAUUUAUUUAUUUUUUUACUUCCUGCUUCCUGUUCAGUGAUGAUCCACGGCUGUACCUGCGUCACACUCGGAUGCUAUCCGUACUAAACAGUAUCCGAGAUGAAAAUGUGUGUGGAAAAGGUGGAGUUUAAAAGUGCGUCUCAAUUCAUUCAUCCGUUAUUUCUCUUCUUCUCCACACGAAUCUGACACUGUCUAAUCUAACGCGCAUCAGAUGUCAUCAGUUUCUGUUUAAUGCUGCUGCUGUUUCAAGAAAAAAAAAUCAAUCCGUUUAAAAAACAUUUUGAAAAGAUGAGAUUAUUUUUUCACACAUUCACUAAAAUCUUUUUUUCUUCCAUUUAAAAAAAGUAUUUUUUUUUCUGUCUGUUUCCAUGGGAACCGGGUUUAUCGUUAAUCAAUCAAAGCUGCUGCUCCAUGAACACUUAAUCAACAGGACCAUGUUGAGCAGGUGAUGUGCUGUACUGCUCUGUGUGUGUGUGUGUGUGUGUGUGUGUGUGUGUGUGUGUGUGUGUGUGUGUGUGAGUGAUGCUGGGUUUAACGUGAGGAGUCGAUGUUAUUAGAUGUGAUUAGUGUAAACCUGUAGAUCAGGUAUGUUCUGGAUCUCAUGCUGAAUUUCUGAAAGCUGGAAACUGAUUAAAGAGUGUAAAUGUUUAAUAAAGACACGGCUGAACUCAAA